UGCCACAUCUUUUCCCUUACCCAAGAUGGCGCUCAAAACGCCCUCAUCACAAGCUCUCCCUAAAGAAACAUGACAGCGCGGCUAACGUCUCGAUGCGGAGUCUUUCCAGGGCGCCUUCGAUGGCUUCACCAAGAUGGCGGAGGCGGCGAGUGAGGCUGCUGCGGCCGUUUGAAUUCCAAGCCAGCCGCCAAACUCGGACAAUAACAGCCAGUGUCACCGCCGGAGGAGCUGCAGCCGCCGCCCGCCCCUCCUUCUCUCUCUUCCACGGCCCCGCUAUGGACUCGCUGCCGGGGGAAGAUCCCACCUUGCCUUUGGAGUUCAACAGCAGUGUGAAUAUUUCCCGACUUCCAGAUGUAUCAGGAGAUGAAAUUCGCACUUGUCUUGGAGGUGGUGGAGGGUUACCAGAUGUGGCGGAAGACACAGUUUCACCAACCAGAGCACGGACCAUGAAGGAUUUUGAAAACCAAAUCAUUGAGCUGCGAAAAGAGAAUUUCAACCUGAAACUGCGCAUAUAUUUCCUGGAAGAACGCAUGCAGCAGAAAUUCGAUGGUCCCAAUGAAGACAUCUACCGAAUUAACAUUGAACUCAAAGUCGAAUUGGAAAGCCAGAAACGAGAACUGCAGGAGCGGGAGCGACUGCUUGUCAAGGCUUCGAAAGCAGUGGAAAGCUUGGCUCAAGGUGGUGAUGCCGAAAUCCAGCAUCUGAAGGAGGAGGCUCAUAAGAAAGUCCAGCAGGUGGAAGAGAGCUUGACACACAGGAUUACCCUUCUGGAGGAGGAUCUUAAGACGGCACAGGAAGAAGUUGAGAAAGCGUUUGCAAUGACGGAGCAUGAGAGGGUUCUAAGACUCACAGCUGAACAACAACUUUCUUUGAUUACAAAUAUGCAGCCAAAGGAUCUGGAUGUAAUGACAGUCCUAGAAGAAAAAGACAGAUGUAUAGAGCAACUGAACCUGUCUCUAAAAAAUAAAGAAGCUCUAAUCCAGAGUUUGGAAGAGGCUGAGUCACAGAAAAGAUCUUUGGAGGAGAGUUUGUCAGGAGAGAAAAUCCAAGAUCACACCAUUGCCUUGGUGUGUGAAACAGAGAAGGAGCUGGAGGCUCUCAGAACAGAAUUCAGCAAUGAGAAACGUGACUUUGAAAAAAGGAUUGAGUCAUUCCAGGAAGAACUUCGUGAACGGGAGAUGCAGCUUUCUGUUGAAAAGAGAAAUGCUUUGAAACGAGACAAAACUAUCCAGGGAUUAACCCUUGCUUUAAAAGCCAAGGAAAAUGAGAAUGAAGAACUUAGCUCUGAAAUUGAAGAUUUAAAAACUUCAUUGGCCAAGGCCAGAGAGGCCAUCCAUAAAGCUCAGAUGCAGAAAUUCAAGGGUGUCGAAGAUUCUCAGACUCUGUUGAUGGAAAAAGAAGGUCUCCUGGCCGACCUGCGGUCCGAAAACCUGACCAAAGAUACAGAGAACCGUAAACUCCAACGGAAAAUUAAGAGGACUGAACAAGAGUUGAAUGAUUUGCAUCUUGAGAGAGAGAAGUUGGUGAAGGAACUAGAGGAAAUUCAGCUACAGAAAAGCAGAAGUGACAAAACUAUUAAUGACCUUAGAAACCAGCUAGAGAAAUCUCACGACGAAAUGGUUGACAAGGAAAAGGCACUGGAGCUUCAUUACAGUGUUCUCUUGAGCGAAGGCAAUCAGAAAUUGCAAAGACAAGAAUUAGCCAUUUCACACCUGACGGCAAGUGUCGCUCAGAAGGAUGAGGUGCUCCAGAAACUUAAUGAGGUGAUUAAAGAAAAGGAUGUGGAGUUUCAGAAAUUGUUUGCUAAGUUUCAAAGUCUCUUAAAAGAUAAAGAGGAUCUUAAGAAGUGGAACGAAAACUUGGUAAAGGAGAAGUGUGCUGCCUGGUCUCAGCAGCCAGUGAUCCAACUAAUUCCAGAGUCAGAGAAAACAAAGGAGUCUGAAUAUGCAGGAAUAAUUGAAGGCCUACAAAAAGAGCGUGAUGUUUUUUCGGCUCUAAUAAAGUCCCUUCAAGAUGCUGAUGGCAUUACUAACCUGCAAGAGGAGUUGCACAACAUUUCUCUGUUGCGUAAGCAACUGGAAGAUGACAUCUUAGCUAACUGGAAUUUGCAGAAAGUGCUGGAAGAUCAAAUCAAGGCUAACCAAAGGGAAGAGGAAACCAUUUCUUCUUGUGGCGAUCGGACAUCUUAUAUGAGCAUUCGUUUAAGAGAACCAGAUUGUUUGGAGUUGCAGUUGGACCAGCUGUCCCUUGAGGAGCUUAAGAGAAAGGUUGUUGAACUUCUCUCAGUCGUGAAGGAGCUGCAUUUGGCAAAUCAAGAUUUAAAAAGAAAGCAACUUGAAUUCUGCACUUCGGAUACUCUGGCAAAAGGAAGUCAGGAGACUCUGGACCAGAGUGAGUUUCUUGAAAGAACGGAAGAAUGUCGGACUCCGACGGGAGCUUUCGAUGAUGAGACAAACACAUCAAAUAGCCUGUUUACUGAGACGCUCAGUGAGGUAUCUCCUUCAGAUUAUUUGGACAGACAGAGUCUGAAGCUAAAUAAGCCUGGGUUUGAACAUGAGCUGGCUGUCGGCAAAUGCUUUGGUGGAAGCGCAGCGGGCAAAAAAGGUGACGCUCAAGAGAGAAGGUCGCUCAUGUCUCUUUUAAAUGACAAUGGAGUGGCGGUACUUGAAUCUAGCAGACAAGAGCAGAGGAAAAUUUCAAAUAACCUGUUAGAUCAUCCGAACACACCUGAGCAAGACAGUUCAAUCGACGAUCUCGAGAAGAAAGAUGAGACAGAUCUUAAGCAACUGGUUGUUCAGCUGAGAGUUGAACUUCAGCAGCUCAGGCAAGUAAAAAAAUUCCAGAAGCCACAAGUCAAAUCUGAAUCUGCUCUGGCUGAAGAAGAAGAAGAAGAAGAAGGGCUUGAUCUCAGACCAGUGCUGCAGAUUAAUGCAGCUAUUGGAUCACCAAAAGUAGAAGUGAAAGAUGCAGCUACCCAAACAGCGACUGCUGAAGGUCACAUCAUGGGGCUGAAGCAUGAAGGCAAAAUAGCAGCCUCUGAAGACAAAGCAGCAUCUUUGAGAUUAAAUGAAGAAUGCGGGCAGAAGCAUCAGCAGGAGACCCUCCCAUGUACAAGGAAAAUGAACAAAAGUGAUCCUUGCUACCCAUUCAAGAAAUCCCGUUUGCCCAUUUUACUAAAAUCAUCAAAGUCAUUAGAAAGCAUCUCCUUAAGCGCCCCCCUUCAGAAGGCAGACAUACAUCUUCAGCAUCGUAUCUUCACCUUGGAUGAAGAUCUGAAAGAAGGGUAUACACAGCCCCAGCGACUUGAUGAAUUACAGCUGAGCAGAGCUGAAAAUGAGAGAUCUGUUCACGAUGGAAUAUACAUAGGAGCUGAGUCGUUGAUCAAACUGGAUGGGUCCAAAGUAGAUGUCAGCUUGAUCAGUGGUGAAAGCAAAGGCGAAACAGCCAAGGAUCAGAGCAACAGCCAAGAAAUGGAAACUAACACACCUGAGCAAAAUCUCCCUGCUACAAAAGGGCUAAAUCAAGAGCUUGCUUUCCUGGAGAAGGAAGAUGGUGAUGCAACUACCACAUACUCUGGUUGCAAGAGCCUGUACUCACUCAGCUGGAGAAUCACAAGCACAGAUGAAUUUGACUGUGAAGCUAUUGAUGACAUUGAGGAAUUAAGGCAAAGAAUUAAGGAUCUGAAGUCUGAGUUGGCAAAGUACAGAAUGCUGAUGAUCCCCUUUGAGUCUGCCAAGCAAGUCCCUCCUGGUGAUAUUUUAAGUGUCAUCCAGAAUGACAGAGAGCUGCCUGCCGACCAUCCCUUUCUCCCAGAACUAAAAGCUAGUAGGACAUUCUUUGGUGCGCAGUCCCCAACAGAGCCUCAAAUCCACAUCAAAGCUCUGACCUCUCAUGCCUUGGAGCAACAAAAUGAAGAAAAGAUUCAAAAGCUCAAGGAGCUGCUGUCAGAGAAUGAGGCGGAGCUUGAAAAAGAGCAGAUUGCAAACAUACACCUCCUGGACGAGGUGUGCCAUCUGCAAAACAAGCUUAAAGGCAUUUCACAGGCAAGGCAUGUCUCCCUGAUCCACUUACCAGCACAUGAGCAGUCCUGCCAGCGCCAGAAAAUUCAAGAGUGCCACAGCAUCUGUGCCACAUACCGCCAGCACCUGUCCAAUCUGAUCAGAGCUUUUGAGGAGCUCUUGCAAGCCAGUGAGGUGGAUUACUAUGUUGCCGAGGGCUUCCGCGAACGGCUGAAUCAAAGUGCUCAGCUAUUUGAGAGGCUGGAACAACAGUGCCUGUAUGGAGAGUCAAUAGAUGAUGAAAUGGCUCGACUGUGUGGCCUGGUGCGAAGAUUAUCUAACUUUGAGAUGUCACAAAAACCAUCCUCUUCGGAAUCAUCCGGGCCUAAAAAAGAAGAAAUGGAGAGUGAGAGAGACAAUCCGGCAGUUGUGCCAAACAAGUUUCCCCCAGAGUUGUCGAUGGAGCACCUCCAAGAAAUACGUACACUGAGGCAUCAGCUAGAGGAAUCCAUCAGGACCAAUGACCGAUUGAGGAAGCAGCUGCAACAGGUGUCGGACUCUGCUCAGGAUCAAGAGAAACAAAAGGAGAAUGAAAAGAUGUGCGAGUCCCUGUCAAAGAAGCACCUUGCUGCUGAGCACCUCCACGAGUAUGAGCACCUCAAGAAGGAGAAGGAGAAGCUGCAGAAGCAGCUUGGGAAGCGAGAGGAAGAAAACAGGGAUCUGAUGCACAAUGUUUACAAUGUUAGCAAUAAACUAAACAGGUUGCAAAUUGAGCUGAACGCUAAACAGCAUCAACUGUCAGAGAAUGACAAAUUGCUGCACUCGCUGCGGCUGGAGCUCAAGGUAUACGAAAAGUUAGACAAAGCAAUCAGAAGUCAAAAAGAUUGCAGCCACGGCAGAGUAGAUGAAUGCGGGAAAGAUCAAAAUCACCUACUUGACUUGCAUGAACUGUUAACUGAAAUACAGAACUUGAGAGUGCAACUUGAAAGGAGCAUCAAGGCAAACAAGAUGUUGCAUAUGAAAGUGGAAGAACAGCUUUCCCGAGGAAUGAGAGAGAGAAGCAGUUCAGGAUCAACCACGAAUAUCGGCUGCCUUUUCAAACAAGAGUUGCCGAAUUACGCUGGGAUAAACGAGCUUCAAUUCCCCACUGCGAACAGCAACGUCCUUGAAUUGCAACUGAAGAAUGGAAACUGCAUAGUGCCACUGAAAGCAGAUACAGAGCUCACUUUGGAGAAUUCAGACAGCUCUUCCCACUGCAGCUCAUCAGCCAGCCAGUCCAGUGACCCCUGCGUUGUUCCCAGCCAUUGCGUGUGGGCAGACAAGAAUGGCCAGCACAUCCUUGGCUUUAUUGAAGAUUAUAACUCUUUACAGAAGCAAAUCUUGGACGGGCAGAAAAGGUUGUCUGAGCUGGAACUUCCUUUGAAAGAAACAGAACUUCAAGGGCUGGGAGUGACGGUUCCACAGCAGGCAUCCCUAAACAGGCUUUCUGCAACCCUCUGUGCGAUCCAGCAUAGCCUAGAAGAAGCUGCCCGUUUGUUGAAGCUUCUUUGGAGAGUUUCGCUCCCAAUGAAAGUUGUCCACAGUGCCGCUUAUGCAUUUCAGGAUGAAGACAUGAAAGCAGAGCUCAACAAGCUCCAUCGGAAACUAGCUGAGCAGGAGAAGAGGCUGCACAGCACAAUCAAACGCUUGCACGCUACCAACCAGCUGAAAGAAAACAUGGAAAGAGUCAUCAUUGAUCAGUUGGCCUUAACUCAUGAUGUUUUAAAGAAGGCACGAGGAAACCUGGAACCUCAGGAGUUGGUUGCAGGAUGAGGGGCAAAGGAGUGUUGGCAACCUUCUGUUUUUGAAGGCCCUUGAUCCAGAUUGACGGAGGACUCCAAGCAGCCAUCAGAGCAACUACACGGUAUCCAGGAAGGUGCUGUUAAUGCCUGGGAAGGACCGUAGUUCAGCGGUGGAGCGUCUGCCUGGCAUGUAGAAGGUCCCCGGAGAGCCAAUGCCAGUCAUGGAGAGCUGCUGCAGUCAGCCUAGACAGUACUGAGGAAGGCCGAAGGGCCUGACUCGGUAUAAGCAGCUUCCUCGGCUCCUAUGGUUCAGCCAGCUGAAAACAAACCAUCAGCCUCCAGCCUCAGCAACAAAAGGGUUUUGUGAAGGCUCCACUUCCCUAAUAAAGACCAUUUUUCCCCUGCUGACCCUGUUCUUUUGACUGUUUCUUUAUUCUCAAGGCCUUAAUGCUUAGUGUAAAUGUACUGCCUUCUAGUCGAUUUGACUUAUGGCUACCCUAUGAAACUAGGAACAGUUCUGAGAGUGAGAAGAUUCAGUGGACAUGUGGACAUGGGUUCAGUAAAAGCCGAUAGAACCCAGUUCAGGUUCCAUGUAGUGAACCUGUGAACUGUCUGAAGGGACAAUCCCCUUUAGAAAAAGUUUGUACAAAGGAUGUGACGAUAGAAUGUAUCCAGUUAUUUUGAUCUCUUAGUCAGGGGUCAGUUAAGCUAGCUAGUUCCUAUAGAUGAGGGAAAGGGAACCUUUGGCUGUCCAGAUGUUGCUAGACUAUAACUCCCACCAUCCCUGACCUUUGACCAUGCUCACAAUGAGGCUGAUGGGAGGGCUACAGAUGUUCCCCACCCCUGUAGAUUGAUCUAAAAUGUAAUCUUUGCUUGGAAGAAAAGACGUGACAUCCUGUGACAAGGACGAAAAGAAAACCUCCAUCAUAGAACUUCAAUAUGCCGAUGAUAAUGUAGUCUCCGCACAUUCAGAGGAAGAUCUUCAAAUUUAGGACACUAAAUGUCUGCAGAAGCAUAUGAAAAGCUUGGCCUCUCGCUUAACAUAAAAAAAAACAAAGUUUCAUCAGCAAGUGCGAACCAAUCCCUCUGUAGCACCAUCAAUCCAGCUUAAUGGUGCGACGUUGGAAAAUGUUGAUCACUUUUCUUAUCUUGGCAGUCAUCUCUAAAAGCUGACAAAUGUUUUAAGCAUACUUUGGAUUUGUGCUACGGAGAUAUGGGGCACAACUUCUGUACUUUAAAGAAGAUUGCAGAAGAGAAUGCUUUCAUCACUCAAAAGCCCUGAUUGUGUCUUAACUGGGGUACCUGUUCUUUUCUAGAAAGAGAAUGGAGAACCAGGCCAUCCACCCAACGAUGGCUUGGUUGCAGUUUAGACAGUGUGGUCAUCCAAAAGACGUUUUCCCUCUCCCUGCAAGAACAGCUUGCCUCCAGGCUUAGAUUACUAAUGCACCUCUGCCUCCAAAUAGUCUUCAUCAUGGGGAGGGGGGGACCCUGUGGCCCUCCAGACGAUGUUGGUCUGGGAUUAUUAGAGUUUCAGCAACAUCAGGAGUGCCAUAGGUUCCUUCAUCAGAUUGAGCUAUAUGGUACACAAAACUGACUUUUUGUUCUUGUUCCUCAGUAAUGUGAAAAGUAAGGGGUCAGGUUGAGUUGUAUAUAUACGCUGUAGCAAGGUGUGAUUGUAGGUGUAGGAAAAUGGGUUGAAAGAGACAUGUUUCUGA